CUCUUCUUCAGCACAUUCUCACGCUAGAAACAGAGCGCUCCAUCAACGACCUCCGAAAUCGCUAGAUCAUUACCAGGCAAUCGGAGGGAGAGAGAGAGGGCAGACGCCUCGUCUCGGUGAUGAAAAAUAGAGAAGAGAGCAGGACGACGAACUCUUAUGUCAUUGAGAUUUGUUCCGAAAACAGAGAGGGGAAGAACAAGGCAGUUGGUCUUGUCAUUGAGGCCGGUUGGAUUUUCGCAUCUGCUAGGAAUGCUGAUCCAUGGUGUGCUGGAGGUGAUUUUAAUGUCACUCAUUGGGUCUAGAGCGUCAUCAUACUAGAACGCAUACUAAGGGAAUGAAGAAUUUUAAAAAGAUCAUUGAGGAGACUGGUUUGAUGAAAACUUCCCUUCUGAAUGUCAAUGUGUGGAAGGAAAUAGAGUGUUGUUUUGAUGCUGAAGCUGCGAGUUAGGAUCUUUGUAAGAGCUAAACAUUCUACCAAUUGGUUUUUGGUUUAUAAUAACUAUUUAGUUUUUUACUCUUACUUUUUAAAAAUUAAGCCUGUAAUACUAAUUUCAUCGAUCCAUUUUCUUAUUUAAAUUGUGUGCAUCAUGUAGUCAAUAUCAAGUCAUUUGUGGUGCAAUUGCUUAUUCAAAUAGAAAAUUACCACAAUUCAACAUGUAUUCGAUCAAAAAUUACAUGACAUAAUGUAAUUUUCAUAUUUUUUAUGUUC